rnacentral:tRNA from 1 species
UUUUGAUGUGGUGCUGGUUGAUGCACCGCCGCUACUUGCGGUGGCGGACCCGGCGAUCAUCGCGCCCAUCGUGGAC